UCCGCACGUGGCGGGUUCCCCAGGCGUCCAUUGUUCGCUACAAUGAGUGGCAAUGCGACGCCGCCCGUGCGGGAC
rnacentral:tRNA from 1 species